AGGUGGAGAAGAGAGGAGGCGGCCUUUGGAUCCCCUGGGAUUGAGGAAGCCCUCUCCAUAUUCAGAAUAUUCCCUGUGAAGUUCAGAAAGAGAUAUCAAUCUCACUUUGAGGCUCUGGGCCUUCAUUUGUUUGUGAGAGAUGCGGAGCGCUGCUCAGAUGACUGUGCCAAUUCUUCAAAUCCCACUUACAGUAGGAGUUCACACAAACACACACACACACACACAACAUGCACAGCACAGCAUCUGCCACUUUCUCCAGCCUGCCUCUGUGUCCCAGCAUCAGUGUGCACAGCGGUGCAGUCUGCACUGUGCCACUCGCAGGUCUUGAUUGAGGAAGCAGUCGCAGCUCUGUCGGCAGCAGCAGAGAGUUAAGAAUAAAAAAUACAGCAUGGCUGUUUGGGCAGAAGCAACAGCAGUCUGUAAUGGAUAAAUGGGUUAGUUUUUCUAUGUCACAGUCUGUUCAGGAAAAGGUGUGUGUUAGAGAGACAGAGACAGAGAGAGAGAGAGAGGAGGACAGAGAUGGUGAGGUUGUAUUGAUUAAUUUGAAAUUGCUUCACUGGAAGUUUCUCUUUUAAUGAAAGGUUAGUGAGUCACUGACCUUUGGGGAUAUUUUUAUCUUCAGACGACAGGAAGUUUAAGGUAGAGGGGAUGUAAAGGGUUGUUUGUUUGUUUUUUUUACCACAGUAUCUUUAUUUGAGUUUUGUAGCAGCAUAAGACGAUCACUACAAACAAUCGCGACAUGCAUGCAUAGCAAAAACACAUCACAAAACAAAACAAUCACAAUAAAAACACCCAACGAACAAUAUGCUUCUCUUGUUAUAGGACAGAUUAUAAACCAAAUGUAAUGAAUUGUGGCAUAAUGGUCAUGCUAAUAUAGGCUACGGGCAUUCAAAAAGUAACAGAAGAGAGAGAAAAUAUUUUCUAAAAAUAAAUAAUAAAAACAGUAACAAUAAUAAUAACAAUAAUGACCAUAGUAGUAAAAAAGAAAAUACAUUAAUAUUCACAAUUUUGGAGAUUGCCAUACCCACAGUAGUUAGUUGCCAGUUUGGUUUUCUGUUAAGUCUGAGUUCUUGACAUGUUCAAUAAAGGGCUUCCAUAUUCCUUCAGAAUAUAGGUAAUUCUUUCCAACGGUAAGCUUGACAACUCUUAUUUUAACCAUUGACUGGUACUUGGUUAACGGGCCUUUUUCCAUAGUAAUGCAAUACAUUUUUUUGACAUUUAAUAAACUUAGAUCUAUAAAUGCUUUUUCAUACUUACUGUAGUUAUGUUUCUCUGGAUAAAGGCCCAACAAGAAAAGGUUAGGGUCCAAUGAAAUUGAUUUGGAAACAAUCUUUUCGAUUAGGACUUUUAUCUCUUCCCAGAAUUAUAAAGGGUUGUAUUUACUUCAAAAUAAAAGAGCACUUCUGCAUGAAAUCUGGUCUCUUUUGACACUUAAAUAUAACAAACUAUAACUGGAAACUAUCCCACAAAACUGCUGACUAUUAACUUAGGAUAUCAGCAUCAAAAUAUUUUACUUUAUAAUCAUUUUUUAUCCCUUUUCGGCAAACACCUCCAAAACAAAAGCAUGCAUGUUAAGAUAUAAAUGAAUAAAGCAUGUCAAACUGAGCGAUAAGACAUGUCAUAUGAAAGGAUUAAACAUGUCCAAAGGGAAAGAAAAAAAAUGUGUGUCUAAUAUUUUUACAUGUUCUCAUAAUUUAGAUUUCCACAGAGCAGUACUUUGAGGGUUAUUAUCAUAAUUUUAGAUAUCUCACGGGUCUUUGUAUUAGAUGAAGGAAGUUCUCACCCUUUCUUCUUGCUCUGGUCCGAUAAUCACGAUCAGAGAGCACUUUGAGGGAAACACAUGUUAGAUUACAGAACAUUACGACGGCGCUCUGCAUGUUGAUGUCUGAGGUUCUUAGCUGCUGACAGUAAGGCGUGCAGGACCAACAGUGACACUAAGAAGUGAAAUAAUUACAUGCAGCCCCACAAACAGUCAUUCUUCACCUCAAUGAACACCCCCUCUGUGGCUCUCCCUCUGUCUUUGUGUGCUUGAUGUGUCCUCAUGUAGCCCACUGCAAUAAAUAGACCCUCACUGUUAGCAGCAGAUGACAUUUUUAAAAGACAGAGCUCGAUUGUUUGAGCGCAGAUUUAUUUACGAAGCACCUUUCAUGCAGACCAAAGAACUGAAGAGAGAGUUGAGAAGAAAAUCUGACAAGAAUAAAUCAUUUUUAAACAUAAUUUCUCCAGUAAAUCAUUAAAAUGUUGAAAAUAAAAAGCUGUAGAUCAGAAAACUUAUUUCCAAGGCCUUAAAUUUGCUCUAAUUGUUCUCGCUUUGGUUUUACACAAACUUUCCUCGAGAUAUAUUUCAUGUUUCCUCAAUAUCUUCAUUCUGUCUUUGUCUUCUUUUCUUCCCUCCAUCCCUCUCCCAAAGACACCAGUGCAUCAGGCGUCCCAGUCUGGCUGUGGUCAGGUUUUAGCAAGCCAAUGGGCCAUGCCGGCCUUUUUUUCCCACAGUGGGCUCAUGAGUGGAGUCUUUGCCCUCACAUGCGUUCAGUUGGGCCUGCUUUACCCACACUAUUGAUUGCAGGUGAUGUUCUGGACUCAGUCCAGCUGACCUCGAAGGGGAGUCAGAUACAUCAUUGUCUGAAGAGGAACCUCUGGAGAGCAGGCAGAAGCAGCAGCAGCACACGUGUUAAGGGGUCUGACUUUGUCCAGAUGCAGAAUUUGACAACAAACUCUUCCUGAAGUGAGCAUCUGGGCUGCCAAACAUGGACUCCAAGCUGCAGAUUCAGCCGUUUCCAAAGUGGAGAAGAAAAAAACUGUAGACGUAGAAAACCCUGGACAAACACGCAUGCUUCAGCUGCUUUGUUUCUUGAAUGGCCAUCCAUGCACCACAUCUUCUCCACUACCUCACCUUUUCCUUCUGCUCGCUAAUUAGAAAUCUUAAUAUGCAAUCAUGUUAACACUGGGUCUAAUUUGUGCAGCGUGCAUCUUUGUUUCUUACACACCUCACAGCAAUUGAUGGAUAUCCAAUGAGACGCCGAGUCGCUGCCAAAGG
rnacentral:lncRNA from 1 species